rnacentral:rRNA from 1 species
GACGAACGCUGGCGGCGUGCUUAACACAUGCAAGUCGAACGGAAAGGCCCGCUUGCGGGUACUCGAGUGGCGAACGGGUGAGUAACACGUGGGCAACCUGCCCUCAGCUCUGGGAUAACUCCGGGAAACCGGUGCGAAUACUGGAUACGACUGCGCAUCGCAUGGAGUGUGGUGGAAAGUUUUUCGGCUGAGGAUGGGCCCGCGGCCUAUCAGCUUGUUGGUGGGGUAAGGGCCUACCAAGGCGACGACGGGUAGCCGGCCUGAGAGGGCGACCGGCCACACUGGGACUGAGACACGGCCCAGACUCCUACGGGAGGCAGCAGUGGGGAAUAUUGCGCAAUGGGCGAAAGCCUGACGCAGCGACGCCGCGUGAGGGAUGACGGCCUUCGGGUUGUAAACCUCUUUCAGCUCUGACGAAGCGAAAGUGACGGUAGGAGCAGAAGAAGCACCGGCCAACUACGUGCCAGCCGCCGCAGUAA